rnacentral:rRNA from 1 species
GUCUGCAACUCGACUCCAUGAAGUCGGAAUCGCUAGUAAUCGUGGAUCAGAAUGCCACGGUGAAUACGUUCCCGGGCCUUGUACACACCGCCCGUCACACCAUGGGAGUGGGUUGCAAAAGAAGUAGGUAGCUUAACCUUCGGGAGGGCGCUUACCACUUUGUGAUUCAUGACUGGGGUGAAGUCGUAACAAGGUAACCGUAGGGGAACCUGCGGUUGGAUCACCUCCUUACCUGAAAGAA